rnacentral:rRNA from 1 species
UACGUAGGCAGCGAGCGUUGUUCGGAGUUACUGGGCGUAAAGCGUGCGUAGGCGGUGUCUCAAGUUUGUUGUGAAAUCUCCCGGCUCAACCGGGAGGGUGCGGCGAAUACUGAGAUGCUGGAGUGCGGGAGAGGUAAGCGGAAUUCCUGGUGUAGCGGUGAAAUGCGUAGAUAUCAGGAGGAACACCUGCGGUGUAGACGGCUUACUGGACCGUAACUGACGCUGAGGAGCGAAAGCCAGGGGAGCAAACGGG